GUCUACGGCCAUACCCCUCUGAACGCUCCCCAUCGCCUCUGAUCUUGGAAGCUAAGCAGGGUCGGGCCUGGUUAGUACUUGGAUGGGAAAAUCUAAAUAGAUAAUUUAUGAAAUCUGAUUUUAGAAA
rnacentral:rRNA from 1 species